rnacentral:ncRNA from 1 species
AAGAUAGAGGUUGCGUUUUUCAUGAGUAGACUGUCUGAUAUUUCAGGGAUAGGUAAGGACAGAAGAAAGGGAACGACGCCGAAGGGAUACAAUGCCUGAGAAUUGUAUUCCUGGGCAUACAGUGAAGAACUGUAUGACUGCCGACGGAUUUCCGACGGAGCGCUAUCU